rnacentral:lncRNA from 1 species
CCGCUGCCACCCGGAGCCCCGGGACGGCAGCAAGGACCACGGCCCGCCGCACUGGGUGGGCAGGCCUUCCCCUACGAGCCCCGGCACGCCGCCCCCUCUGUCCCACACGGAGCCUGCAGCGGUAUUUUAAGAUCUCUGUGGUGAACCGAGACUAGAAAUGAAUCUGUGAAUCCACCACCGAAACAGUAUGGGAACCAUGUCUAAUCAACCAUAGGAAGUGGCCAAAGGAGGAAGCAGGAGUUUGUGGGUCCAGUGUGGAGGAGACAAAGACUGGACUGCUGUUCCACACCUUCAGAACACUUUAGUUCCGGGAUAAUGUUAUUAGCUUUCAAGCAUGUGAUGCAUCCCAAGAGAGCUGUUGACUUCCAGUCUGACCAAAUUCUUUCACGUUGUGGCGUGUACGAUGUAUAAACGUUUUGGAAUGCCUCUGAGACGACUUCUGCCGGUGAGUCUUUCCUCUGAGUGUCUUUGGGGCUAGAACAGUCAUGUCCAUUUCAUUGUUGAUUAGGUGUUCGUAUAAAAAAGAAUUUUUAAAUGCUUUACUUAACAGCUCUGAUUAACACUGAGUAUUUAGAUCCUGAUGUGUCAGUUAUAGACAUUUAAUCUCUCAUCAUUAAAUAUUUCUGCCUCUUUCACUGAAUAGAGGAGGAUGUAUGUGAGCAACAUAUGGGUGGAGUUGAUCUGAACAAGAAUUUAGGGAGGAGAAAAUUAUACGAUCUCUAAUUUUUUUAGGGAGAGGCUGAA